rnacentral:rRNA from 1 species
UACGGGGGGGCAAGCGUUGUUCGGAAUACUGGCGUAAGGCGUCGUAGGUGGCCAACUAAGUCGGACGUGAAAUCCCUCGGCUUAACCGGGGAACUGCGUCUGAUACUGGAUGGCUUGAGUUCGGGAGAGGGAUGCGGAAUUCCAGGUGUAGCGGUGAAAUGCGCAGAUAUCAGGAGGAACACCGGUGGCGAAGGCGGGUCUCUGGGCCGAUACUGACGCUGAGGAGCGAAAGCGUGGGGAGCGAACAGG